UACGGGGGGGGCAAGCGUUGUUCGGAAUUACUGGGCGUAAAGGGCUCGUAGGUGGCCAACUAAGUCAGACGUGAAAUCCCUCGGCUUAACCGGGGAACUGCGUCUGAUACUGGAUGGCUUGAAUCCGGGAGAGGGAUGUGGAAUUCCAGGUGUAGCGGUGAAAUGCGUAGAUAUCAUCAGGAACACCGGAGGCGAAGGCGGCUCACUGGGGCUUUUCUGACGCUGAGGAACGAAAGCCAGGGGAGCGAACGGG
rnacentral:rRNA from 1 species